CAUUCUACACCAUCACUCCACCUCACCACCCCUGCACAGGAAUACCAGGCAAUGGAACUUGCCCACAUGACGCACCCACAACUCGAGGCCCACAAAACCCGAUUACACCAAAAACAGAGAACUACCGAACCACCUGGCUCCAAGUUACACUUCAACUGAAGACUACGCGACCCAUGGGACAACACCACUACACAGUUGGACUGAAAACGGGGAUAUGGGUGGCCAUAACGCCAUCAUCCUUAGGUAACAACGAACAACCAAAUAGGACCCACAAUACGGCAGCAUAUAGACCCUAUUGGUCCAUGUUACAGCCGGCUUAAUGCCUAAUCUCAUGAUACAUACGGUACAAGUUCUUACUAUGCCUAUAUCUGUAUAUACAGAGGAUUGUGCGAUUGCUAACAGAGAAGAUGCUGUACAACUGUGCAUUUUCCCCCUCCC